rnacentral:tRNA from 1 species
GCCUAGUUAGCUUAGUUGGUAGUGCGUCUGCCUUGUAAGCGCUAGGCCGUGAGUUCGAUUCCCGCCCGGGGCG